rnacentral:rRNA from 1 species
AUUGAACGCUGGCGGCAGGCCUAACACAUGCAAGUCGAGCGGAUGAAGGGUGCUUGCUCCUGGAUUCAGCGGCGGACGGGUGGGUAAUGCCUAGGAAUCUGCCUGGUAGUGGGGGAUAACGUCCGGAAACGGGCGCUAAUACCGCAUACGUCCUGAGGGAGAAAGUGGGGGAUCUUCGGACCUCACGCUAUCAGAUGAGCCUAGGUCGGAUUAGCUAGUUGGUGGGGUAAAGGCCUACCAAGGCGACGAUCCGUAACUGGUCUGAGAGGAUGAUCAGUCACACUGGAACUGAGACACGGUCCAGACUCCUACGGGAGGCAGCAGUGGGGAAUAUUGGACAAUGGGCGAAAGCCUGAUCCAGCCAUGCCGCGUGUGUGAAGAAGGUCUUCGGAUUGUAAAGCACUUUAAGUUGGGAGGAAGGGCAGUAAGUUAAUACCUUGCUGUUUUGACGUUACCAACAGAAUAAGCACCGGCUAACUUCGUG